rnacentral:rRNA from 1 species
GCAGUGAGGAAUAUUGGUCAAUGGGCGAGAGCCUGAACCAGCCAUGCCGCGUGCAGGACGACGCAUCUAUGGUGUGUAAACUGCUUUUGUACGGGAAGAAACACCUCUACGUGUAGAGGCUUGACGGUACCGUAAGAAUAAGGAUCGGCUAACUCCGUGCCAGCAGCCGCGGUAAUACGGAGGAUCCAAGCGUUAUCCGGAAUCAUUGGGUUUAAAGGGUCCGUAGGCGGUUUUAUAAGUCAGUGGUGAAAUCCGGCAGCUCAACUGUCGAACUGCCAUUGAUACUGUAGGACUUGAAUUAUUGUGAAGUAACUAGAAUAUGUAGUGUAGCGGUGAAAUGCUUAGAUAUUACAUGGAAUACCCAUUGCGAAGGCAGGUUACUAACAAUACAUUGACGCUGAUGGACGAAAGCGUGGGGAGCGAACAGGAUUAGA